AGGAUUAACGCUGGCGGCGUGCCUAACACAUGCAAGUCGAACGAGGGGGGCAACCCCCGAGUGGCAGACGGGUGAGUAACGCGUGGUCAACCUACCCUAGAGUGGGGAAUAACUAGCCGAAAGGUUAGCUAAUACCGCAUGAUACGUUUUGGGACAUCCCAGGACGUUGAAAGGAGCAAUCCGCUCGAGGACGGGACCGCGUCCGAUUAGCUAGUUGGUGAGGUAACGGCCCACCAAGGCUCCGAUCGGUAGCUGGUUUGAGAGAGCGACCAGCCACACUGGGACUGAGAAACGGCCCAGACUCCUACGGGAGGCAGCAGUGAGGAAUUUCCGCAAUGGGCGAAAGCCUGACGGAGCGACGCCGCGUGUGGGAAGAAGGCCUUCGGGUCGUAAACCACUGCCGAAGGGGACUAUACUGAAGGUACCCUUGGAGGAAGCCCGGCUAACUACGUGCCAGCAGCCGC
rnacentral:rRNA from 1 species